GUGGGGAAUAUUGGGCAAUGGGGGAAACCCUGACCCAGCAACGCCGCGUGAGGGAAGAAGGUUUUCGGAUUGUAAACCUCUGUCCUUGGUGACGAAGGAAGUGACGGUAACCAAGGAGGAAGCCCCGGCUAACUACGUGCCAGCAGCCGCGGUAAUACGUAGGGGGCAAGCGUUGUCCGGAAUGACUGGGCGUAAAGGGCGUGUAGGCGGCCGAUUAAGUCUGGAGUGAAAGUCCUGCUUUCAAGGUGGGAAUUGCUUUGGAGACUGGUUGGCUUGAGUGCGGAAGAGGUAAGUGGAAUUCCCAGUGUAGCGGUGAAAUGCGUAGAGAUUGGGAGGAACACCAGUGGCGAAGGCGACUUACUGGACGAUGUCUGACGCUGAGGCGCGAAAGCUAGGGGAGCGAACGGGAUUAGAAACCCCGGUAGUCC
rnacentral:rRNA from 1 species